rnacentral:rRNA from 1 species
UACAGAGGUCUCAAGCGUUGUUCGGAUUCAUUGGGCGUAAAGGGUGCGUAGGCGGCUUGGCAAGUGGAUGGUGAAAUCCCUCGGCUUAACCGAGGAACUGCCGUCCAAACUGCUUUGCUUGAGACCGGGAGAGGUGAGUGGAAUUCCCAGUGUAGCGGUGAAAUGCGUAGAUAUUGGGAGGAACACCAGUGGCGAAGGCGGCUCACUGGACCGGUACUGACGCUGAGGCGCGAAAGCGUGGGGAGCAAACGGG